rnacentral:rRNA from 1 species
ACGAAGGGGGCUAGCGUUGUUCGGAAUUACUGGGCGUAAAGGGCGCGUAGGCGGUGUGUCAAGUCAGGCGUGAAAGCCCUGGGCUCAACCUGGGAAUUGCAUUCGAGACUGCUCUGCUAGGGUGCGGAAGAGGGAAGCGGAAUUUCCGGUGUAGCGGUGAAAUGCGUAGAUAUCGGAAGGAACACCAGUGGCGAAAGCGGCUUCCUGGUCCAGCACCGACGUUCAGGGACGAAAGCGUGGGGAGCAAACAGGA